ACGAGAGACCCGAUAGACAGCGAUGACAGCUGUUCACGGCACCGACACAGAGGACAUAUUGCAGUGCAAGAUAGGAGCGGUCUUCCUGCAAGCCCAGACAAGCCAUAUUGAGUGGUUUCAAAUACAGCAACUGUACCACCACGACAGUGCAGCACAAGAGACCCUAUCGUCAGUGCUGAGCCAGAAAUUAAAUAGAAAAGCGCUUUCUCCUGAAAUCUUUCGUCUGGUCUUAUUUCGUUUGUUUGUGAUUGUAAAAGAGCGCUUUCAUAGGAAAUACAAAAUUUAACUAACUAGCCCCAUUUAUUGUCCUACUGAAACUAAAUAGCUUGACAAUUUAGCGCUCGUUUACAAAUGCAUGUAUCAUAGACAUGCAAGAUUAUUGAUUGGCUUCGAAAGACUGUUACGUGUAAAGAACAAUGGUGAUCUAGUCAUUGCUCGAAAUGGUCUGCUGGCAUUUAUGUGACAAUCCUCUAAAGCGUGCACACUUUCGUAUUAUUAACCACAAAAAUAUUUAUUGACCUGUGUGCAGCAAACAUGCUGUUGCUGGCAUAAGGCCUAAGUCUGCAAUAUGGUGUUUAAUGUCAACCUAAUGCAUAUGUUCAGUUGCGUUUCACUAGACAACGGCCAUUAGAAACUCACACGUCAGUACUCCAUAGACUAACGCUAGACAAUCGUCAUCAGAAACUCUAACGUCAUGACUCUAUAGACUAACGGUGGCCAAUUACUAUUAGACUCGCAUUAGGUGUGCAUUAGAAAGCGCAUUAGACUGGCAUUAGACAGUGUAAUGAUUAUGAUGUCUAAAGACAUUAGUCUGUUUAUUAAUACUCAUUAAAUUUUUUCA
rnacentral:lncRNA from 1 species